rnacentral:rRNA from 1 species
GGGUUGAAGCAUGACCGUAAGGACAUGUGGACAGUAUGGGAGUGAGAAUGUUGGCAUGAGUAGCGAGAUGUGGGUGAGAAUCCCACAGGCCGUAAACCCAAGGUUUCCAGGGGAAGGUUCGUCCGCCCUGGGUUAGUCGGGACCUAAGCUGAGGCCGAAAGGCGUAGGUGAUGGACAACAGGUUGAUAUUCCUGUACUACCGAUAACCGUUUGAGAGAAGGGAUGACACAGUAGGAUAAGCUAAGCACACUGUUGGUUAUGUGUGCCCAAGCAUUGAGGCAGUCAAAGUAGGCAAAUCCGCUUUGAUAAUGCUGGGAUGUGAUGGGGAGCGAAAUUUAGUAGCGAAGUAGCUGAUUUCACACUGUCAAGAAAAGUCUCUAUCGAGGUUAAAGGUACCCGUACCGCAAACCGACACAGGUGGGUGAGGAGAGUAUCCUAAGGCCAGCGAGAGAACUGUUGUUAAGGAACUCGGCAAAAUGACCCCGUAACUUAGGGAUAAGGGGUGCCACCAUCAGGUGGCCGCAGAGAAUAGGCCCAAGCGACUGUUUACCAAAAACAUAGGUUUCUGCUAAGUCGCAAGACGAUGUAUAGGAGCUGACGCCUGCCCGGUGCUGGAAGGUUAAGGGGAUCUGUUAGAGCAAUCGAAGCAGUGAACUUAAGCCCCAGUAAACGGCGGCCGUAACUAUAACGGUCCUAAGGUAGCGAAAUUCCUUGUCGGGUAAGUUCCGACCCGCACGAAAGGCGUAACGAUUUGGGCACUGUCUCAACAACAGACUCGGUGAAAUUGUAAUUCCGGUGAAGAUGCCGGAUACCUGCGACAGGACGGAAAGACCCCAUGGAGCUUUACUGUAGCUUGACAUUGGGUCUUGGUACUACAUGUACAGGAUAGGUGGGAGGCUUUGAAACCAGGACGCCAGUUUUGGCGGAGCCAUCCUUGGGAUACCACCCUUGUAGUACUGGGACUCUAACCAUAGGCCAUGAAUCUGGUCUUGGGACACUGUCA